rnacentral:tRNA from 1 species
GGGGCGGUAGCUCAGUGGUCAGAGCAAGGGACUCAUAAUCCCCGGGUCGUGGGUUCGAUCCCCACCCGCCCCA